rnacentral:tRNA from 1 species
UCCCUGGUGGCUCAGAGGUUAAAGCGUCUGCCUCCAAUGCAGGAGACCCGGGUUCGAUCCCUGGGUCUGGAA